GGUUAAUGCAGCAGCUCAGACUCAACUCUCCGUACAGGGUGAGCACACCGGGGCAGGAACAUUGUCGAUCACCCGGGAAGUCGGACUGUGAUAUCCCGGGACCACACUGAACGCCGUCCGGUUACAACAUCAGAGAGCCAGAGUUUACAAUCUCCGACCUCCUGGCACAGGGGGAUGAAGAUCGACUGUAUCAACUAACAAAGUUCUACAGAGACAGACUCAAACAAGCAAUUGAAGAAAAGGUUGAGAGACUCGGGUUGAUGUUGACAGAGGAGGGACAUUUCAGUAGAGAAGAAAAUGAGAAAGUCACUGAGCUGACAGAGAAGGGAAACCGGGCAGAGAGUUCCAGACUCUUCCUCAGUUUGGUGAUGGGCAAAGGCUCCCGGGCCCAGAGGGCGAUGUGGGAAUCCUUUGUGAUGUGGAGGACUGAGUUACCGAAGUUGGAGAGAAUACUGAGGGAAAUACUGGAA